AUGCCAUGAUGUGGACACUUUCGUAAAAGCUCCUUAAACCUCUCUCACGCACCACAUGUAGAUUCAUCUUCAAGCUGCUGAAAAGACACGCUUUCACUUCUGAAUUU